CGGAGGAGCCCCAAGGAGGCCCGCCUGACCACUGACCGGUUGCCAUGGCAUCCUACUACGAGAUUCUAGAUGUGCCGCGAAGUGCGUCCGCUGAUGACAUCAAGAAGGCGUACCUGCGCAAGGCUCUCCAGUGGCACCCAGACAAAAACCCAGAUAAUAAAGAGUUUGCAGAGAAGAAAUUUAAGGAGGUGGCCGAGGCAUAUGAAGUGCUGUCUGACAAGCACAAGCGAGAGGUGUAUGACUGCUAUGGUCGGGAAGGGCUGACAGGGGCAGGAACUGGCCCGUCUCGGGCAGAAGCUGGCAGUGGUGCACCUGGCUUCACCUUCACCUUCCGCAGCCCCGAGGAGGUCUUCCGGGAGUUCUUUGGGAAAGGAGAUCCUUUUGCAGAGCCCCUGAUGACCGGCGCCUUUUCUCAGAGCUUCAGAGCCGGGGUUCCCGACACUCAGGCCCCUUCUUUACCUUCUCUUCCUCCUUCCCUGGUCAGUCCGAUUUCUCCUACUCAUCUUUCUCCUUCAGUCCCAGGGCUGGUGCUUUUCACUCUGUUUCUACAUCUACCACCUUUGUCCAAGGACGCCGCAUCACCACACGCAGAAUCACGGAGAACGGGCAGGAGCCGGUGGAAGUGGAAGAGGACUGGCAGCUGAAGUCAGUCACAAUCAAUGGUGUCCCAGAUGACCUGGCACUGGGCUUGGAGCUGAGCCGUCGCGAGCAGCAGCCGUCAGUCACCUCCAGGUCCGGGGGCACUCAGGUCCAGCAGACCCCUGCCUCAGGCCCCUUGGACAGUGACCUCUCUGAUGAUGAGGACCUGCAGCUGGCCAUGGCCUACAGCCUGUCAGAGAUGGAGGCAGCUGGGAAGAAACCCGCAGAUGUGUUCUGAGCCGGAUGCCGGGAUCCAGAGUCGUUGCACAGUUCCAACAGGACAGCGCCCUCCCCCAUGUGCUGGGAGGGGACCCUCCAUUCCUCUCCCUCACCCUUGCUGAGUGUAGAGCCGGGGCCUGGGUGGUGGGUGGGGGCUGGGUGGGAGGCAGCAGUAGUCUUAGCCUGUGCACUCUCUUCCUUGGGUGUUUGGUGCUGGCCCCUGGGGACUACAAAUCCCAGAAUGCGGUGCGCCCGGCCCCAUUUCUGAUAGAUCCCGCUUGGGGGAGUUGGUGCCUAGUUAUGGAGCUGUGCAUCUUGGGACAUGUAGUAGCCCAGGUCGGCCUGUCACUCACUGUGAGAUGGGAAGAUUUUGUCUUUUGAUUUAUCCCUGGAGGGCCGGCAAGGUCGUAGAUGAAGGGGGAAUGAUCUGAGCCUUGGUUCCUCUGACACGUCUUGCUAGCCCCAGGGUUAGAGUGGGCAGGGCAGAGCCGUGCAGCACCUGGGAGAGGUUCCCUUCCCGUGGGCAGCCUGGGGUCCCAGGAACAAGCCAGGGCCAGUAGCAUGUUUGCCUGAGCAGGGCGUGGCUCCGGAAAGCUGAGGAGUGUGUGCUGGCAGAGAGCUUCGAGGGCAAGGCCACCCGAGGGGGCGUGUGUGUGGCGGGGCUUGGCGUGUGAUGGCAGCUCCAGGCAUGCCGCUGCUUGUAUGGCUUUCUUUGGCCUCUGACCCUGCUGCCCAUUCUUUCCAACAUCACAGACGAGCAGCCCCUCCUCCUCCCUGCCUGGGGAGCCCGGUGGCCAGGGAGGGGAGUGGUGGAGCCAGCUUCUGUAACACUGAGUCUCAGAGACGAACCAAAGCCAGCUGGGCUCAGCUCAGACAGAGGGGAAAAUGCUGGAAGGCAAUAAAACUGUUUUGAGAAAAAA